UUAUUAUCUUUCUGAAGCACAGAGGAGCGUCAGAGCAGCAGAAAACCUGUGUGGUUCUAUUUUCUGUACGGCUGACAUUUACAGGACAUCGUAUCGACAGACCACCUGACUGAGCAGAGAAGCCCCACUGACGUCAGGAGGAGCACCUCAGGGAACUUUAAUGCUUGCUUGGUAUAAGCUCAGAAGAAGAUGAGUUUGUUUUCCUCCCGGGUGUGGAGAUGUGUUCUGCUACGCUGUGUGGAUCAGAGGCGUCCUGCUCAGAGUGGGAGAAGACAGGCGUGACAGAGGGUGACAGAGAGCUGGGACUCCAUCUGAAAGAUGCUGCGAGAGUCAAAACCUGGUGCUUUUCUUGCCCAGGUCUGCAUGCUGCGUCAGAGGCAGCUUUUUUAUCUAAGUUCUUAAACAGCUGCUGGUGCAUCUGUCUUUAAAGCAGGUGUGUGUUUCAGCUUUAGCACAUUUAUCAUUCUUAAUCUGUGUGUGUGCAAUAAUAAACCAGCAUUAGGUGAACAUGUCAGAAUAAAUUGUUGCCUGUCAAUCUAAAUGUUCAGUCUGUGGAAAAAUCUCAUGCCUCAUGACUUUUUAGGUCAUUCUGCUUCUCCCAAUAUUUUUAAUAAACUUAUUAGGUUUUCUGGAGCACAGUUUUUAUUAUUAUUAUUUUUAUUUUAUCUUAUUUUAUUUAUUUAUUUUGGCUGCUCUUUAUUUCCUGUUCUCAAUAGCUUAUCUGACUAUUCAGAAUAAUGACGUUUUUUUUGUGGGGGUUGUAAUUUAGGUCACUUAAAUCUGACCUAUGAAUCAUUCAAACAUUAAAAAAGCCUUUAAAUUCAUAGAUGAACCAAUGUUGUGAUGACAAAUGGCACACAACUUAGAGGGAAGCUAUUAAACAGAAACGUCAAGUAGAAUAUAGCUAAAGUACUUGCUUAUUGAGUAAGUCACGCAACUAAUGUCCUGUCUAAAAGACCAUCCUUUUUUACAUAAUAAAAAAUGGUACUUUCAAGUUGUUUUUCUUUGCCUUAAAAUAAAAGCUGAAACAUUGA